rnacentral:rRNA from 1 species
GACGAACGCUGGCGGCGUGCUUAACACAUGCAAGUCGAACGGUGAAGCGCCUUCCUUUUUGGUGGGUGUGGAUGAGUGGCGAACGGGUGAGUAACACGUGAGUAACCUGCCCCCUUCUUCUGGAUAACCGCAUGAAAGUGUGGCUAAUACGGGAUAUUCUGGGUCUGUCGCAUGAUGGGUCUGGGAAAGAUAUUGUUUCGGUGGGGGAUGGGCUCGCGGCCUAUCAGCUUGUUGGUGGGGUGAUGGCCUACCAAGGCGGUGACGGGUAGCCGGCCUGAGAGGGUGGACGGUCACACUGGGACUGAGACACGGCCCAGACUCCUACGGGAGGCAGCAGUGGGGAAUAUUGCACUAUGGGCGCAAGCCUGAUGCAGCGACGCCGCGUGAGGGAUGGAGGCCUUCGGGUUGUGAACCUCUUUCGCCAGUGAAGCAGGCCUGCCUCGUUUGUGGGUGGGUUGACGGUAGCUGGAUAAGAAGCGCCGGCUAACUACGUG